rnacentral:lncRNA from 1 species
UGUGAAUAUUAAACAAAGGGAGCAGAUGGAUUCAUUACAAAAUUGUGUUUUGGUGAUGGUGAUGUGUUUGUAUAUCUUACUUUACUAAACAGUCAUGCUGCUUACAAUUAUCUCUAUCUAUAAUGAACUUGACACAGUAGUUUUAGUGGAAAAGGUUAAUAAAAUUUACAAAUUUUAUGAAAAUUGUUAAAAAUUGACUAUAAAGGACAAUAACUCCUUAGGGGGUCAAUUGACCAUUUCGGUCAUGCUGACUUAUUUGUAAA